rnacentral:RNase_P_RNA from 2 species
ACGGCGGAGCGGGGCGGUCGCGGUCCGCGGGACCCGCGGACCGAGGAAAGUCCGAGCUCCGAAGGGCAGACUGCCAGGUAACACCUGGGCGCCGCAAGGCGACGGACAGGGCCACAGAAAACAGACCGCCCGUCGGCAACGGCGGGUAAGGGUGAAAAGGUGGGGUAAGAGCCCACCGCGUGUCUGGCAACAGACAUGGCACGGUAACCCCCAGUCGGAGCAAGGCCAAGUAGGCGGCGAGGUCCGGCCCGGACCGCCUGAGCCGCGGGUAGGCCGCAUGAGGUGGCGGGCGACCGCCAUCCCAGAGAGAUGACCGUCCGGCGCUCCGGCGCCGAACAGAACUCGGCUUACGGCUCCGCCGUCCCG